GAAAUGCGAUAAGUAAUGUGAAUUGCAGAAUUCAGUGAAUCAUCGAAUCUUUGAACGCACAUUGCGCCCGCCAGUAUUCUGGCGGGCAUGCCUGUUCGAGCGUCAUUUCAACCCUCAGGCCCCGCCUGGCGUUGGGGAUCGGCGCGGCCCUCUCCGGGCUGCCGGCCCCGAAAACUAGUGGCGGUCUCGCUGUAGUCCUCCUCUGCGCAGUAGCAACGCUCGCACUGGAACUCGGCGCGGCCACGCCGUAAAACACCCCACUUCUGAAAGUUGACCUCGGAUCAGGUAGGAAUACCCGCUGAACUUAA
rnacentral:misc_RNA from 1 species